UACGGAGGGUGCAAGCGUUAUCCGGAUUCACUGGGUUUAAAGGGUGCGUAGGCGGUCAGGUAAGUCAGUGGUGAAAUCUUUGGGCUUAACCCGAAAACUGCCAUUGAUACUAUCUGUCUUGAAUAUUGUGGAGGUUAGCGGAAUAUGUCAUGUAGCGGUGAAAUGCUUAGAUAUGACAUAGAACACCAAUUGCGAAGGCAGCUAACUACACACAUAUUGACGCUGAGGCACGAAAGCGUGGGGAUCAAACAGG
rnacentral:rRNA from 1 species